UUUUAAGAGGUCUCUCUGAGCCUUGAUAUCCCCCAACCUGGAGGUGGUCAUUUUUCACCAUUUCAUGUCCUUGCUUUGCUGUUUAUCAUCUCUCAUUCAUAAACAUCCAUUGAUCCUGUACACGCUGGACAUAAUCCAAGACAUGAUCCUCGUUGCCAAGUUAGACUGCAUUUUGGGGCGCCUGGGUGGUUCAGUCAGUUAGGCAUCUGCCUUUGGCUCAGGUCGUGAUCCUGGAGUUCUGGGAUCGAGCCACGCAUUGGGCCCCUUGCUCAGCGGGGAGUGUGCUUCUCCCUUGGCCCCUCCCCCCCUCUCUCGCCCUCUCUCUCAAAUAAAUAAAUAAAAUCUUUUAAAAAGUUAGACUACAUUUUACCCACCUCUGACCCCCAAGAUCUAGAUCUGUUACACAUUGUCCAAGCUCUUACAAAAUGUCUAAUGAAAUAAAGAAAGACUACUGAACAACUAGGUAAUAUAAUGUAGAAUCAUGUGUGUAGAAGUUUUAUUAUCUUGGAAAAAAAUUAUUGGCCUUAAAUAUUUGCUUUCCUGCAUUAAAACAGUACAUUUAAUGCACAAUGUUCAUUGCUCCAAACUUGCCAAAACCAAAAACGAUCCUUAUCCUUAGCCAUGAGUGACCCUCUGAGCAAUCAGUGUUUUGCAAAGCAUGGUCUGCCAAUCAUCUGUAUGAGAAGCAUCUGGAAACUGAUUUAGGAAUAAGGAUAUUUAGUCUGAAAUCCUUAGGUAAUGAAUAACUGUUUUAACCAAGGGCAGGCUGUGAGUGAAAUUGAGCCACAGGUCAAAAGGGUGCUGAGAGAGAGGCCCUGAUGCGGAUGGGGGCAGUGAAGACUACGGGCCCUGCCCCACCUCAGAAAGAAUGCUCAGGACCGGAGGCACAGAAGGGUGGGCAAGGUACAGCCUCCCUGGAGAAAACAACUGAAAUUUCCAGUCGGGGAGGCCCUAGGGAGGAACACCUCCACCAAGGGCGGGUUUUAACACGGAAAGAACAGCUUCGGCACACGAGCAGCCUGAGGGAACCUGCGAUACAUGUGCCUACGGCCACCUCACGGCGGAAUCCUGGUGUUGGCGCCUGCGUGACAGACCCUGGGCGUUCAGUCAUCUGUGUAUACUGUGAAAAUGGAAAAGUGCUGAGAACCCUAAGGAACGGCAUGAACGUUGCUGAUGAUCCCACCACCAGGAAAUCAUCACAGGUAAUAUUUUGGCUUAUUUGCUGCCAGAUGUUUUUUCCUUUGUGAAACUGCUGAUAUUUCAUCCUUUCCACCUACAAACGUGUUCAUUUCCUAUGGUCUAUGCUAAUUUACCUAGAUCACGUCCUAUACAUAUUCUUUCACACAUGUAAGAGGGUACUAAACAGGCUGUUUUCCAGUUUGCUUUGCUCAUUUAACAUUAUAUUUGUUCAUAAAAUAGAAACAUUUUGAGAACUGUCAUGAAGGACUAUUAUAUCCAGCGUGUGGUUGUGCCACAAUCUACCCAACUAUUUCCCAACUAUGGGCUACAACAGCUGUUUCCAUUUGUCCCCAUUAUGAACCACACUCUGAUAAACAGCUCUCCGUAUAAGUACUUGUACCUAUUUUAGAUUAUUUUCACAUUUAGAAAUGAGAUUCUUGGUUACAGUUC
ensembl:lncRNA